UCCGAUGCUUUCUCUGCUUGUCCUCUG
rnacentral:piRNA from 1 species